GAUCAGGGAUCAGCAACCUUCCACACUCCAGUUGUUGUGAAACUACAAUUCCCAGCAUGCUCCAUUCAUUUCUAUGGGAGGUCUAAGAAGAGCAGAGUAAGUUUGAAUGCUGGGAGUUGUAGUUUCACAACAGCUAGAGCGCUAGAGGCCG